CAGUCGCCGCGGGAAUACGUAGGGUGCGAGCGUUAAUCGGAAUUACUGGGCGUAAAGCGUGCGCAGGCGGUUAUGUAAGACAGUCGUGAAAUCCCCGGGCUCAACCUGGGAACUGCAUCUGUGACUGCAUAGCUAGAGUACGGUAGAGGGGGAUGGAAUUCCGCGUGUAGCAGUGAAAUGCGUAGAUAUGCGGAGGAACACCGAUGGCGAAGGCAAUCCCCUGGACCUGUACUGACGCUCAUGCACGAAAGCGUGGGGAGCAAACAGGAUUAGAUACCCCUGUAGUCCCUGUCUCUUAUAC
rnacentral:rRNA from 1 species